GCCCUUGUAGUAUAAACUAAUACGCUAGUCUUGUAAACUAGAAAUGAGACUUACAGCCCCUAGGACA
rnacentral:tRNA from 1 species